GUGCUCGCUUCGGAAGCACAUACACUAAAAUUGGAACGACAGGGAAAAGAUUAGCAUGGCCCCUGCACAAGGAUGACACCAAACUUGUGAAGAGUCAGUAUUUAAA